UAAUACAGAGGUGCCAAGCGUUAGGCGGAAUCACUGGGCUUAAAGCGUGUGUAGGUGGAUGCCUAAGUACCUUGUGAAAUCCCACGGCUUAACCGUGGAACUGCUUGGUAUACUGGGUGUCUUGAGCCAACUAGGGGCAGCCGGAACAAACGGUGGAGCGGUGAAAUGCGUAGAUAUCGUUUGGAACGCCAAUGGUGAAAACAGGCUGCUGGGGUUGUGCUGACACUGAGACACGAAAGCCAGGGGAGCGAACGGGAUUAGAUACCCCGGUAGUCCUGGCCGUAAACGAUGUCCACUAGAUCGCAGUGCCUCUGACGGUGUUGUGGUCGCAGCAAAAGUGCUAAGUGGACCGCCUGGGAAGUACGGUCGCAAGGCUA
rnacentral:rRNA from 1 species